ACUGAAGAGUUUGAUCAUGGCUCAGAUUGAACGCUGGCGGCAGGCCUAACACAUGCAAGUCGAGCGGAUGAAGGGAGCUUGCUCCUGGAUUCAGCGGCGGACGGGUGAGUAAUGCCUAGGAAUCUGCCUGGUAGUGGGGGAUAACGUCCGGAAACGGGCGCUAAUACCGCAUACGUCCUGAGGGAGAAAGUGGGGGAUCUUCGGACCUCACGCUAUCAGAUGAGCCUAGGUCGGAUUAGCUAGUUGG
rnacentral:rRNA from 1 species